GGCACUAUAGCCAAGUGGUUACGGCGACAGAUUCGAAUUUUGUAUUCGAAACUAUCUGUUCCCCUCUGGGGUCGCAGGUUCGAAUCCUGCUGGUGUCG